GAUGAACGCUGGCGGCGUGCCUAAUACAUGCAAGUCGAGCGAACGGACGAGAAUCUUGCUUCUCUGCUGUUCGCGGCGGACGGGUGAGUAACACGUGGAUAACCUACCUAUAAGACUGGGAUAACUUCGGGAAACCGGAGCUAAUACCGGAUAAUAUUUUGAACCGCAUGGUUCAAAAGUUAAAGACGGUCUUGCUGUCACUUAUAGAUGGAUCCGCGCUGCAUUAGCUAGUUGGUAAGGUAACGGCUUACCAAGGCAACGAUGCAUAGCCGACCUGAGAGAGUGAUCAGCCACGCUAGAACUGAGACGCGGUCCUGACUCCUACGGAGCGCAGCAGUAGUGAAUCUCCCGCGUUGGGCGAAAGCCUGACGGAGCAACGGCGCGUGAGUGAUGAGGGUCAUCGGAUCGUAAAACUCUGUGAUUAGAGAAGAACAUAUGUGUAAGUAACUGAGGACAUCUUGACGGUACCUAAGCAGAUAGCCAAGGCUAACUACGUG
rnacentral:rRNA from 1 species